rnacentral:sRNA from 1 species
ACAAAAGAGGCAAGGAGUUUAAAUUCUUGUCUAUUUCGCGGUCAGUCUUGGGAGGAUGAGAUCUUAGGCGCGUUCAUUCGCUGCCCCGGUAACGGUUACAGAUCACGCGAAACUGAAAAACAAGGCUGAAAAGCCUUGUUUUUUUUU